UCCUUGUCGGGUAAGUUCCGACCUGCACGAAUGGAGUAACGAUUUCCCUACUGUCUCCACCAUGAACUCGGUGAAAUUGCAUUACGAGUAAAGAUGCUCGUUACGCGCAGCAGGACGGAAAGACCCCGGGACCUUUACUAUAGUUUGGUAUUGGUGAUUGGGACGGUUUGUGUAGGAUAGGUGGGAGACGUUGAUGCGGCCACGCUAGUGGUGGUGGAGUCGUUGGUGAAAUACCACUCUGAUUGUUCUGGUUAUCUCAC
rnacentral:rRNA from 1 species